rnacentral:lncRNA from 10 species
CUGGUUCCUUGCAGCUGUGACUCCCCAGGGUAAGAGGCAAAGAGCCACCAGGUCCCAGCUGAGGAAGCCCUGUGGUCAGCUCAGACAGGGAUGCGGACUGAAGCCGAAGCAGGUGUUAGUAAUUGUCGUACCUACAGACGAGGAAACCGAGCCUCCAUGAAGUGAAGUGACUCACCCACAGUCACACAGCUAAUAUAUGCCAGAGCCCACAGCAGAACCCAGACGUACUGAGGCCAAGUUCCAUGCCAGCAUAAAACAGGCUCCAGUUCUCCCUGGAUUCCAG